rnacentral:rRNA from 1 species
AGUCGGCCCCUAAGGCGAGGCUGAAGAGCGUAGUCGAUGGGAACCAGGUUAAUAUUCCUGGACUUUUUAUAAGUGGUGAAGUGGGGACGAAGAAGGCUAGGUGAGCCAGGCGUUGGUUGUCCUGGUACUUGCAUGUAGGGGGGAAGACUUGGCAAAUCCGGUUUUCCAUAACUCUGAGGUGCGAAGUGGUUCUGACCUUUUGGUACAGAGAAGUCAUUGAUGCCCGGCUUCCAGGAAAAGCUGCUAGCCAUAACUUAUAGAGAACCGUACCGCAAACCGACACAGGUGGACAGGUAGAGAAUACUAAGGCGCUUGAGAGAACUCGGGUGAAGGAACUAGGCAAAAUGGUACCGUAACUUCGGGAGAAGGUACGCCCUUUCUGGUGAUGGGAUUUACUUUCAGAGCUGGAGAGGGCCGCAGAGACCAGGUGGCUGCGACUGUUUAUUAAAAACACAGCACUCUGCAAAUUCGUAAGAAGACGUAUAGGGUGUGACGCCUGCCCGGUGCCGGAAGGUUAAUUGAUGGGGUUAUCUUCGGAGAAGCUCUUGAUCGAAGCCCCGGUAAACGGCGGCCGUAACUAUAACGGUCCUAAGGUAGCGAAAUUCCUUGUCGGGUAAGUUCCGACCUGCACGAAUGGCGUAACGAUGGCCACACUGUCUCCACCCGAGACUCAGUGAAAUUGAAAUCGCUGUGAAGAUGCAGUGUACCCGCGGCUAGACGGAAAGACCCCGUGAACCUUUACUAUAGUUUUGCACUGGACUUUGAUGAUGACUGUGUAGGAUAGGUGGGAGGCUGUGAAGUGAGGACGCUAGUUCUCAUGGAGCCGCCCUUGAAAUACCACCCUGUUGUUAUUGAGGUUCUAACUUGGUCCAGUAAUCCUGGAUGAGGACAGUGUAUGAUGGGUAGUUUGACUGGGGCGGUCUCCUCCCAAAGAGUAACGGAGGAGCACAAAGGUACCCUCGGUACGGUCGGACAUCGUACCAAGAGUGUAAAGGCAAAAGGGUGCUUGACUGCGAGAGUGACGGCUCGAGCAGGAACGAAAGUUGGUCUUAGUGAUCCGGUGGUUCUGAAUGGAAGGGCCAUCGCUCAACGGAUAAAAGGUACUCCGGGGAUAACAGGCUGAUACCGCCCAAGAGUUCAUAUCGACGGCGGUGUUUGGCACCUCGAUGUCGGCUCAUCACAUCCUGGGGCUGAAGCAGGUCCCAAGGGUAUGGCUGUUCGCCAUUUAAAGUGGUACGCGAGCUGGGUUUAGAACGUCGUGAGACAGUUCGGUCCCUAUCUGCCGUGGGCGUAGGAAAAUUGAGAGGAGCUGCUCCUAGUACGAGAGGACCGGAGUGGACGAACCUCUGGUGCACCGGUUGUCACGCCAGUGGCAUGGCCGGGUAGCUAAGUUCGGACGGGAUAACCGCUGAAAGCAUCUAAGCGGGAAGCCUCCCUCAAGAUGAGUUUUCCCAUGAAGCCCGUUGAAGACUACGACGUUGAUAGGCAAGGUGUGGAAGCGCAGUAAUGCGUGAAGCUAACUUGUACUAAUUGGCUGAUUGUCUUGACCAUAUAAUCUGAG